rnacentral:lncRNA from 1 species
CAAUGCCUAACGUUACAUGGAACACCCAGACAUCAUACAACAUCCUUCAUUGCAACACAUGUAGGCUUCAUUAGGGCUUAGUGAUAGGCUGAGAAACACUAUAUAUUGUCUGUGUAUUGAUGAGUGUGCUAGCGCUUACAGAGGCACUGAGAAGGCUUUUAACCCUGAGAUACGUUAAGAUGAAGACUUUCAGCAUGAAGAUUGCUGUUCUACUUGGAUUUGUGAUGCUUCUCUCUAUUGCUCUGGCUGAGCAUGACCAUGGCCAUCAGCAUAUCAUUGAGAAGCGCUCUUCAAGUGAAGAGCGUGGCCGUGGCCCUGGCCGUGGCUUUCCAAACUUUCUCCAGCAGUACAACUACUUUCUGCUUCUGCAAAGACUUGGUCUUUUCCCAGCCCCUGCAGCCCCGGCCCCUGCAGCACCUGCCCCUGCAGCACCGGCCCCAGCCCCAGCUCCAGCCCCAGCUCCAGCUCCAGCUGGUCGCUGAGAAAGGACAUGAAUCAGAACCUUCAACUCAACAAGAGCAAGCUAUGGUUGCUGAAGUGACCAGAACAUUAACUGACACUAAGUACUGUAAUAGCUGAUUUCCAUAUUUUGCUUGAGUUUCCCUUUAAUGUACUUGCUGUAUGUCUGUCUGCAAUGCAAUAAAGUGGAUUUGAAAUGGCAUAUGUCCCCUCCUGCACACUUUCUUUUGCCUGAGAAAUUUGAUUUUGAAUUCAAACAUAUGUUCACAGUUUGUGCAUUUGUUAGUUAGUUAGUCAAAUCUGAGGAUUAG